UACGUAGGGUGCGAGCGUUAAUCGGAAUUACUGGGCGUAAAGCGCGUGCAGGCGGUCGAUUAAGUCCGGUGUGAAAGCCCGGGGCUCACCCCCGGAAGUGCGCUGGAAACUAAUCAACUAGAGUACGGGAGAGGGAAGUGGAAUUCCUGGUGUAGCGGUGAAAUGCGUAGAUAUCAGGAGGAACACCGGCGGCGAAGGCGGCUUCCUGGACCGAUACUGACGCUGAGGCGCGAAAGCGUGGGGAGCAAACAGG
rnacentral:rRNA from 1 species